ACAAUCUUUGCAGGAUCAGCUUGACCAUAUUUCAUCUUUUUUGCAGAGAUUUGCUCCUCCGGUUGCUGAUACUUCAUCUACUCGUAGAGAUGAUGAUGCCGUCGACUCUUGAUACAUCGUAGAUUGUGUACUUACGAUUUUGAGAUGAAUGUUUUUAGAUUGUUUUAAAUUUUUUUUUUGAUACUUACCUCAAUUUCCAAAAUACGAUUAUGCCAGAACUUUGAUAAGUAUAGAUCUUGGAAAGGACUUUAAUUAGUAUGUUCUAUGUUGACUUGACAGGAACAUGGUUUCCAAAAUCUUAUGUAUAACAAUUAGUUUGUAGAGUU